AAUAAAUUCUUAUUUUUAUUAUUUUAUUUUAGCCCUAUCAUUAUUUACUAUUACUAUACUAAAAAUCCUUUUUCUCUUUUUCAGCUUCGAUUUACUACCACCGGGGGCACUCAAAAUGAGGAAUUUCGUUAAAAAAAAAAAUGGUCAUGAUUGCAUCGGAUGGAGAAGUUCCCCAGGCGUCCGUAACAACAUUUGGCUUUGCUCGAUUUCAUCCCUCUUCGAAAGAGGGCAUUAGCUUUUUUAAAAGCAAUCAGGUUUAUUGUGGUUGGGUGUUUUUUGAAGAUUUGCCAAGUUUUCAUUUUCUGUUCCCUUAGGGCUUUUAAAGUAGGGCUCCACCAUGGGACUUGUUUUUUUGUUGUUAUUGGAUGACUUUGAAGUAUUGAGUGGUUGGCGGCAUAUCGAAUGCCUUUUUGAAACAAGGCGGCUUCUUUAUUGACAUUAGUUGAUAAGUCCUUGUUUAAGAACCAACUCUCGACGCUUGAUUGAAAUUUGUUCCAGUCCGCCAAGUCCGUUUUGAAUUUAGGAUUUAUGUGUUAUUGGUAAAGAUGCAAAAGCACAAUGUGUCUCCUGAAGAGAUAUGGCACAUGGCGAUUGAUCUUUAAUUAAUAUACUAAGCUCAUAGAAAUUGUUAAUAUAGCCUUGUAUAUUCCAUUGGAGAGCUUUGAAUGAAUAGUAAGAUUGGGGGUAGUUAGAGUUUGGUGUGUUGUUAAUAUUUAUGUGACUCCGCUGCCCUGGGGCUGGACCAUCAGAGUCCCUGGAGGGACUCAGAUGGUUCAAUCCCAGACCAGCAGAGUCUUGUUUUGGAAAAAUUUUAUUGCUGUUUUUAAAUGUCGGUUAUGGAGGGUUUUACGGCUAUGGAGGGUUUUACGAAAUGGUUUUUUGUUGGUGCAGGUAUCAUGUGUAAAGAGGGAUUGUCGUUAAAAAUUUGCCAAGCUUCACGUACUGUACAACGCCGCGUAGAUUUAAUUUUAUUAACUGACUUGUGUCGCAGAAAAGAGGGGCAGGCAGGAUGAGGAUCGUAGGAAGUAUGGGAUUCAUCCUUACAGUUAACACUAUAAACUCUAGUACAGGCGUGUCAAACUCAAUGGCUUUCACGGGCCAAAAUAGCAGGGUCUACAUUUCUAUGGGCCGCAAAAAAAAAGAAACAGUUAGAAUUUGUAUGAAAUAGAUUUAUUAUUACGAACAAGAACAAUAAAUGUAGUAAUAUUAAUGUUUUCUGCCUGACACUUUGCAUCUCUUUUCUUCUAAUAUCUUCUCUACUUGUGGUGAAAAUUUAGUAGAAGUUAUUUCUUUUAAAAUAGACCCCAGGUUUAGAUCUGUUAUUCUGGAUCUAACAGGUGACUUAUUUCAAGUGAAAACAGCUGCUCGCAUCGAUAAGUGCUUCCAAACAUACAAAUGAUUUCAUAUGUCAAUUUUCUAUUUAAACAAAGUGAAAAAAUAAUGAAAAUUAUUUUCUAUUUAUUUAAAAUCUGCUAUUAGAUACUUGUAAAAUUCAGGCAUCCCAACUUCGUCGAAUUUAGAUCUUAAAACGGAGUGACACUGAAUUUCGAUUACCUCGUACCUACAUUUGCAAGUGAUUAGGUACUGAUUCUAUAUUUAUAAAUCCGUCUCAAAAAGAGAUUUAAAAAUGACCGAUUUUUUGGGAAAAAUUAGCGACUUUUUUUCAUUGGAAUUUAUUUAAGGAAAAGUAGCGACUGCAAGUCGACUUCAGAUCAAAUUUUUGGUUGUUUGGAAUUAUAUCUUAUAUAUAUAUAUAUAUAUAUCUUUUUUU